AUGUACGUGCUUAGAAAGGAACUCCGCCAAUUCCGAUCUAACUUCAUCGAUUUCAUCUUGAGAGUAUGUAGGAGGUAAACUUUUCAUCUGUAGAUAAUAAAGUGGUUAAGAAUUAUUUUCAUUCCAAACAAUGACAUAAAGUGGUUUUAAAAUUCUAAUACUUACGACAUCUACAAUCGAAGUACUCCUCGCAGAAAUUAUGUCCCGCAUGAAUCGCAUAACAUAGUACCCGCAUUCUACCACCCCAUUUUGUUUGGGACACUGGAUGUAGAAUAAAAAAAAUACGUGUGAAACGUUUAAAUUAAUAACUUAUUUACGACUAUCCUACUGGUCAAUGCCACAUACCUUAACAACCUUCCAAUUUGGUUUUUUCUUCUUUGAUAUAUUGAAUGAUCUACCACAUAAUAUAAGAUUGUUACAUAAUUAAAAUAGUUGCACACAUAAUAAAGACAUUAACGACAAUAAUAUAACCUACAUUUGAAGCACUUCACUCAUGUCUCCGUCAAUC
rnacentral:lncRNA from 1 species